GUUUUGUUUUGUUUUGUUUUGUUUUCCUAUAGACAGACUAUGUCUCUUCUCCCGGGCCCCUCAAAAGGUGCUGCCUCCCCUUCUUCUCUCUUUAGCCAGCACAAGAGCACACAGGAGGCCGGCAUAAUCACGAAUUGCAGCUGUCUGAAGGGCAGUCACAUAAAAGAGGAGAAGCUUCACCUUUGCUUCACAAGGCACAUCUUGAACCAGGGAUGGAAAUUACAGAGAGGCCAAAACCAGCUCGGUGUGAGCAGGACUGGUAACAGACUGGCCAAGCAACAGAAGGGGCUGCCCUGUGAAGAAGCAAGCUCUCUGUCAAUGGGAGGUGCAAGCUGAGCCUGCACUACCUUUUGUCACGGUUGCUAUGGAAAAGAUUAAGAGCCCGGUAUUAACUAUCUAUUGCUACAUAACAGAAUACCACACAACUUAAAAGCUUAAACAACACAUUUUUAUCAUGUCACAAUGUUUGGGGUCAGGGAUUCUGGAGUGGCUUAGCUGGGUGGGGUCUCCGGGUUGGUCUCUCGUGAGGCUCCAGUCUAGAUGUUGGCUGGGGAUGCAGUCGUCUGUCAGCUUGGCGAGGGCUGGAUGAUCUGCUUCCGGAAUGGCCCACUCACAUGGCUGUGGGAAACAGGCCUCAGCCCCUCUCCAUGUGGCUUCUCCAUAGGGCUGCUUGAGUGUCUGCAUGACAUGGCAGCUGGCUCCCUGAAGAGCACGUGAUCCGAAAGAGAGAGCAAGACAGAAGCGCAGUGUCUUCAACAGCAUAUCUUUGAAAGUCAUAUUCCACCGUUUUCACUACAUUCUAUUGAUAAGUGAGUCACUCAGAAUAGCCUACAUUCAAGAGGAGAGGAAUGAGGCUGCAUUGAAGGGAGCACACUGCAAAGAAUGUGUGGAUUUAUUUUAAAACCACUAUAAGCCCCUUCAGUGCUGAGUUAUUGUGAUGCCUUAUGCAUUCCGAAGCCAAACGUGGAUGUGAUUUUAAUUAGCAGCGAUGCUAAGCUCUUUUGCUAAUGCUACUAAAAAACACAGGAGUCUCUGCAUUGUUCCAUCCCCAGUAGGUAGCUUAAGAUGCUCUAUUUAAUUCAGUACAAUACAGAUUUAUUAACCACUCUCUCUGUCUGUAGGGCCUGGCUGUUCCCACCUCAAACCACUUCUUAGCUUCAUUUGUUCUCAUAACAACAGGAUAGCCCUUCCUCCUCUGGGGGCCUGGGCAUCAGCAAGUCGGAUGGCAGUGGAAGGUGGAGAAAUGGAAUCCUGCUGGGGGCUCAGGAGGCCUGCCCCCUGAUGCUGCCGUGCACUGCAGAUGUCCUUGAUGAAGAGAAUGAAUGGAAGCUGUCUUUCUCAAUGGCAAAAGGGCAUACUGCUGUUAUUGUCAGUGAGGGGUCAGUAGGUAAGAGAGAGAGAAAUGGUAACAGAAAGUGCUUCCUUAAGUGAAAUUAGGGGAGUGUGUAUGUGUGUGUGUGUGUGUG
rnacentral:lncRNA from 10 species